GACGAACGCUGGCGGCGUGCCUAAUACAUGCAAGUCGAACGAGAGCGACCGGUGCUUGCACUGGUCAAUCUAGUGGCGAACGGGUGAGUAACACGUGGGUAACCUGCCCAUCAGAGGGGGAUAACAUCCGGAAACGGAUGCUAAAACCGCAUAGGUCUUCGAACCGCAUGGUUUGAAGAGGAAAAGAGGCGCAAGCUUCUGCUGAUGGAUGGACCCGCGGUGCAUUAGCUAGUUGGUGUGGUAACGGCUCACCAAGGCCGUGAUGCAUAGCCGACCUGAGAGGGUGAUCGGCCACAUUGGGACUGAGACGCGGCCCAAACUCCUACGGGAGGCAGCAGUAGGGAAUCUUCCGCAAUGGACGCAAGUCUGACGGAGCAACGCCGCGUGAGUGAAGAAGGUUUUCGGAUCGUAAAACUCUGUUGUUAGAGAAGAACAAGUGCUAGAGUAACUGUUAGCGCCUUGACGGUAUCUAACCAGAAAGCCACGGCUAACUACGUG
rnacentral:rRNA from 1 species